rnacentral:rRNA from 1 species
AUGUGGCGGCGGGCCUACACAUGCAAGUCGAACGCCCUGCUUUCGGGCAGGGAGUGGCGGACGGGUGAGUAACACAUGGGAACCUACCCACCAGUGAGGGAUACCGGCGCGAAAGCGCCGACAAGCCCGCAUACGUUUCCCCGACAGGGGAAGGAAAGCUUCUUCGGAGGCGCUGGUGGCUGGGCCUGUGGCCGAUUAGCUAGUUGGUGUGGUAAAGGCGCACCAAGGCGACGAUCGGUAGCUGGUCUGAGAGGACGAGCAGCCACACUGGGAUUGAGAACGGCCCAGACUCCUACGGGGGGCAGCAGUGAGGAAUUUUCGGCAAUGGGCGCAAGCCUGACCGAGCAACGCCGCGUGCAGGACGACGCGCUUCGGCGUGUAAACUGCUUUUCUGUGGGAAGAGCAAGGACGGUACCACAGGAAGAAGCCCCGGCUAACUACGUGCC